rnacentral:tRNA from 2 species
CGGGAUGUGGCGCAGCUUGGUAGCGCACCUGCUUUGGGAGCAGGGGGUCGCCGGUUCGAAUCCGGCCAUCCCGA